CAGCAAAUCAUCCUCGGAAUUAUGCAAAGGUUGGAAACUGUUGGAGUGACUGGAAUGAAAGCAAAGGAGACCUAACAAGCUGUACCUCUUAUGCAAGGUUCAACAGCAUUCAAACAGCAAGGCAUAUCAUGGCUGUGUUUCCUUGAAAAGCUGGGGCAAAGAACCUUGAGGUGAACUGCUUUGAAGACGGCAAUCAUACACAGUCAGAAGAUACCUUGUGAUUUUCACUUCCUUUUAUCAGACCAUGUCUUUGAUGCAACAGGAUACAGAGACUGUCUUAAGCAAUUUGUCUUGCUAACAUACAGCUGUACAGUAGCUUUGGAUUUCCAUGUUCUAAAUCCCCAUGAACUGCAACCUUUCCAGAUCCUCCGCCAGAGCACAUGACAUCAUAUACGUUGUGUUUAGUUAUACAACCUAAUGGAAAAACAUCACACUUGAGAAUCAAAAUCCACUGAUCUUAACUGAAAAUUACACAAGCAAGAACAUUUUUGGCUUCUUCCUGAACUCCACCCAGUUCAAAAAAAAAAAUGUGCACAGAACUGCAUUAAGAAACUUGAAGUGCUCACUGAGUAAGACUAAGUGAGAUCUGCAGGUGCACCGAGUCCUGAAUUCAUUUCAGUGGCACAGCCCUAGGUGCUCCUGCUGAUCGCGUCGUCUGCCAGAGCCGAGUGCCAGAGGAACUGCAGAGUUACCCAGACUGUAGAAGCAGCAUUUAAAAAUGCCUCUCUUCUCUCUUGCUGGAAAGAAUUCAGAAGCCAGCAGGGCCAAUCUGUUCUUACAAUGUUAUAUAAAGGUCCUCUGUAUUAUUCUGUAUUUGUUAACUGUUAUUUAUAUUGAGACAACUAUAUGUAGUUAUGGGAAAGAUGGUGGAACUACAGAGAUGGCGGAACCAGAUCUGAUGUGUUCUGAGCUUGAUUCACACUGUACUGUUAGGGCACUGUUGACUUUACUCUGAUCCACAUACUGUUUUGAGGCCUCCCUUCCUGUACAGUGACACUCCUAUACAGUCCCUGGAGUAAUGUGCUUUCUGUUUCACUAGCUCAUCUGCGUGAUAUCCAGCAUUUGAACGACAACUAAAAAUGAUACUAAGUACUGUGUAGGUCUAAGCAUGCUUAAAAAAUAACCUACAAAUCACUGAAAUACCAAAACAGGUUGUGAGACUUGGGAUACAAACCAGUUUCAGAAUUACAGUGUGAAGAUUAGGAAAUAAUAUCGGAACAAUUGGAAAUGUGGUAUCUGCUGCCCUACAGAAUAAAAUAUUAUUAAGUCUAACCACUUACUGGUGGCUAUCUUUUCAAUUUAUUUUAUGUAGUAGCUCUGCACAUUACGUUAGCAUCUUCAAGCAUAUGCCAGGGCCAUGAAGUAACAAAGAAAUUCUUUGUAUCCUGGGACUUCUAAGAGUGACUGCAAAACCAGAAACAGUAAGCCAGAAACAAAUUGCUCAGUGAUCUUUCUAUGUUCUGCUGCUUCACGGAACAGAAUUGUAUGUUGUUGUGAAAACUGACUAGACUAGAAAACUGCACAUGCCACUGUGUGCUACUC